GGAUACGGCGCUAGGGUAUACAGCUGAACUCAUCAAAAGAGGAACUAAACCCGCCCCACAUUGGACCCGGCGGGAGCGCGGUGGAUAUGCACCCUACAACAGACCUGACGAGGUUUUGUAUAUAUAUAUGGGUUCAUGAAUUACAGGUCCUGAUGGCAGGGGGAAACAAGAGCUGCGACUAUAACAAUGUCCAAAACCACCCACAUGCACCAGCGCACCAAUACAUGAAGAUCACCUGAGCCAUCCAUAUCCACGCGAGCCUACAGAUAAUCUUGAAUUUUUUGAUUUGUUCAUCUCCUCUUCGUCCGCUUAUCCGGGGUCGGCUCGCGGGGGGAGCAGCUCAAGCAGGGGGCCCCAGACUUCCCUUUCCCGGGCCACAUUGACCAGCUCUGACAGGGGGAUCCCGAGGCGUUCCCAGGCCAGUGUUGAGAUAUAAUCUCUCCACCUAGUCCUGGGUCUUCCCCGAGGUCUCCUCCCACUAGGACGUGCCUGAAACACCUCCCAAGGAAGGCGC
ensembl:lncRNA